rnacentral:rRNA from 1 species
UACGUAGGGUGCGAGCGUUAAUCGGAAUUACUGGGCGUAAAGCGUGCGCAGGCGGUUUUGUAAGCCAGAUGUGAAAUCCCCGGGCUUAACCUGGGAAUGGCAUUUGGGACUGCAAGGCUGGAGUGUGGCAGAGGAGACUGGAAUUCCUGGUGUAGCAGUGAAAUGCGUAGAUAUCGGGAGGAACACCAGUGGCGAAGGCGACUACCUGGCCUGUUCUUGACGCUGAGGCGCGAAAGCUAGGGGAGCAAACGGG